UUUAGAAGUCAUUUAGCCUUCCUUUUCAACAAUUGAAAGACUUCCCCAUAUGGUAUCCUUGAAUAAGGGCCAUUCAGCCUCUGCGUGGACUCUGAAGUCAUGUCACUAGGAACAUGCUGUCAUUUUAUCUCUCUCCCAACUAAUUAUAAGUUUCAAGAAGAGCUCUGAGUGGGUAAUGUUAAGAUCAACUGGCUAAUGUAGAUACCAACCAGAGUUUUAAUUAUAGCUGUGGCAAAUUUUCUGCAUUUAGUGUUGAUGAGGAUCUACAGACUGUUAACUGUUUUGAUAAUAAGAAAGCAACCUGCAGUGUUGGAAAAGAAAACCUUCUUUAGUAUCACAUAUAUAGCCAAUUCAAGGCCUUUUUCAAACCUCAAAUGCCCCUAUUCUGGAGAUGUUUGAAUGUGGAUUGACAUCCAGUCUGGAAAAGAAUUGGGACACUGACUGACACAGAUAUCGAUAUCCACUCACCUGGACUGGGCUGUGUCACAUCUUGUGCAGAUCAGCUGGUGGCUGCUUUCAGGGCUUACUCAGAAAUCUUCUUGCCUAGAAGGUCAGAACCAGCUGAUGUGAGUUGUUUCAUUGUCCCUCCAAAUCAAAGUAUCUCUGUAUCUCCAUCCGUCUCCUCUUCCUUCUUGAAUCAGAAGCUAGAGCACCUGCUGGAGCCACCCCAUGCAAGCUGUCCAUAUUCUCUGCCCAUUCAUAAAUUGUUCACAACUGUCUCUUGAAUCUUU